UCCUCGCUCCUUUUCCCCGUUUGUCAGGUGGGACCAGUUUCCAGAAACUCGCUCAUCCGCUCUGGGGUGCCUGGCAGAGAAAAGCGACAUUGGGCUGACAAAAGCUGGCGCCUGCCUGCAGCGAGUGCCAAAAAUGACAAAGCAAUUGGGUAAUAGCUGACUGCGCUAUUCAGCCAGAAGGAUGGGAGUAUCCGAGAGGCAGUUUCAUCGGGACUGGCUCCACUCUCUGCUCACCUCUCCUUCAUCCUCCUUGCCCUUUGCUGUAACUCUGGCAUCCUUCUGGGAAUAUUAAUGUUUCAUUUCUUCCAGUCAGAAGAAGCAGGUUCAUCCCAGGACGUGCUUAUCGCGGCGUGGCAACAAGUAGGACAGACGGCAACACGCGGCUGCGGUUCCUGCUGUUGAAUGCCAAGGAGCUGUUAGGCCAGGAGAGAUGCAGAGGUGGGAGCCCUGCCCGCGACAGCAGGCGUGCGGCAGCGUUGCGCCAGCACAAGGGAUGUCUGAAUUAGUGCACGCCUCCGAAACCUCAGCUUUCAAGGAACGAAGCUGAACUGAGCGGGGAAAGGAGCAUUUCUUCCCAGUGGGCAAAGAGAGGAAGGAUGAAAGUCAGGAUUUUCUCCAGCGAUAGCACUCCCCAGGUGGCAAACCCCACAUCUGUUUCCAGUGAACCUACCAGGACUACAAAGCAAACAAAUCGAGAAAUGUCAAGUCUUGAUUGCUCCUGGGUCACCUAUUUGUUUGCGGAGUGUCAUUUCUGGUAUUUGUUUAACCAGCCGUGCCCUGCCAGGUGAAAGCCACCGUCCUCUGACUGAUGGGUGUGAGUUCUCCCCCUGCUCCCAAGAGACAAGUAGGCAUAUUUGUGUGUACAUGUAUGUGGCUUGGCCAGUACCCAGAAGUGACAAAAGUUCCAGCAAAUUUCCUUUUCUCUCUUCUGGCAACCUCCCUGCCCUACUCCCCCUUUUUUCUCCUCCCCGUAUGCCACCUACAGCAUCUGGCAUCUGCUUUGGGAAGAUGCAUGAGGCCAGGUAUAGCCUGUGGAUGCUUUUAAUGUGCAAUGAUGAGUGCUCUCUUCUCCCAUCCCCUCUUUCCUGCUGCAGAGCAGAGUGCUGGUAGUCAUGGCCCUGAUAAGAAUAGGUUGCUUGCUAAGACUCUUACCUGUAAUCAUAGCCCAGCAUCCUAGAGCCACCUAUAAACCAUUUUUCCCUGCUGAUAAUCAGCCCUCAGCUCACCAUGAACCUUCCUGAAGAUCUGGGAAUGGGCAGACAAUAAUAAAACUUGAAGGAUGUUGUAUGGCAAAGGUUGUCUUUCGGGAGAUCAGAAGAUGAUGGGCCUGUAGAUGUAUUCUGUAGAGUGGUGCAGGGUGAAAUGAAUUCCACACACCCUGCUUUUUUGAUGUCUAACAGUAACUUUAACCACAGACAAAUUUCCACACUCAACCCCUAGUGAUGGCCUUGGCUAACGUGACCUGUACUUAGUUAGCACCAUGACCUAAACCUCACUACUGGCCCAUACAACAGUGAGACAUACUUGACCCACAGCUAAUUAUAAGCCAUAUGCACAAGCGUGUACCGUAGCGCCAGCGGACCGUAUCAUCUUCCUAUCAUUCUAGUUCCUCAGUCCUAAGCCCUACUCCCUGUUCCUGACAUUUUCUCUAGCCUCCACUGCCCACCCACAGCAAUAAUUCACCCCAGACUUCAGGUCGAGCACAUCCAUCAUCCCUCCAGACCUCACAGGAAGCCACUUGGUUAGCUCAAGUGCCUUCACAGCCCUGUCCCAGAAUGACAAGAACUGGGUACCAGAUCUUAUCAUCUCUCUCAUAUCUCAUUCAGGAAUAACCCUAGACUUUCAGCCCUUUUUACCCUAAAAGCCUGACUCCAGCUUUAACUGUAAACUACCAGCCAACGCUCCUCCAAACGCAACUCGAAGCCUUCUGCCUCACAGAACGCCAGUAAUCAGGCUUGUCCAGGGCGGGCAAAGAAAGAGGUGGUGCUCCUCAGUCCUUGGUGUCCCUAUCUCUAACCCUGACUUGAGCGUUCACAAACAUGAUGCUCUUUACCUACUGGCUGGUACCUCUGACUGACGGAGCUGUUGACGCCCGCCAGCCCCAGCCCUUGUGACUGUGUUUCUAAGGUCUUUGCUGGAGUCCGGACACAGGGGUGGAGGCAGCCAGUGGGGCUUGCUGGGUGUGGAGGCUGGGAGUUGUGUUUGUCAGGGGUUGUGCUGGAUGGGCCAGGGCAUGUUUUGGUGGAAUUUAGGGUGGAAAGACUUUUGCAGGGGGGGGCAUGGCUUGAAGGAUCAACUGGCUUCCUCCAGCUGCUGAAGGGAUGGUAGGCUGGGUGCAACCUACAGCAUGGGGCAGAGGGGAGUGUGACAGUGUCUGUACAUCAGGGAGAGAGCAGGGAGGCACGUGGUCACAGAGAAGAAGCACUGGGUCAGGGACGAUAAGAAAAGCCUGAGAAUGGCUGAUGUGUUCCACUGACCCCGCUCCUUUCCCAAAACAAGCCUCAUUCAUUGCUCCUGCCUGCUUCCUUCUCACCGCCCUUCCACUGGUUCUUUGUCACCAUCCCCACCCCGUGUCCUCCUGCCUCUGCAUGUCCAGAGCUACUUGCUCCUCAAGAGCUGGUUCUUCAGCCCUCCCCGGCACCAUGGUGCUGCUGCCUUGCCUGCUUUUGGCAGUCAGAUCCCAUCCAGGGGCCAAGCAUAUGAACCCCAGGUUGCUUAUUACAAGGUGCUCUGCACCCCACCUUGCACGUUGACACGUCUUGCUGGUUAGGAGCUGAGGUCCCUUCAGGUGUCCAUGUGUUGCUGCGAAUAACCAGCUUGCUUCUGAAGUUUUUUGGGGGAUUGGGCUUUAAACUUGCUUCAUUUAUUUAUUUACAUUCAAGGUUGGUAUUGCAUUUUUUGUUUCUAAACUGCAUUUAAUAAGACUGUCAUAUAAAAGCGCUCCAAGUUUCUGGGAAGAAUACUUAUUAAAAGUGGUUUUGUAAUUCUCUUACAGUGUGUGGUCUUCGGCUUUUCUGAACUUUUUCUGCGCUGCAUUCAAGUAUAGUUUAGUGCAGCUGGAAAGAGAAAAGCUGACAAUGAGCAGAUCAGACAGAGAGGGAGACGGAGCUGUUUUAUGCUGCUUUUUUGCAACAGACUAAGUAGGUUUUCCCCACCUGCUUAAGGAGUGCCCACAGCAGACUGACUCAGAAACACACCUUGUUCUGAAAGAAAUCACAGCAGCAAAAGAACAUUGUUUGUGGCAGUGGAGAAAGUGCUGAUUAAACGGCCAGCUUUGCUUUGCACACUUAAGGUCACAACUUGUUUCCUUUCCGAAAUACCUUAAGUUUGUUGCAGUAACCAAGGCUGGUGAAGGGAAGGUCCCAACGGAGUACCAAGACCAACCUGCUUCCUCGUUCUUUGCCCUCGCAUCGUUGGGCAACUUUCUUCUAUGUCAUGUCAAGCGAGAACUUCCUCAUCCAAUGCAGCAGCGCUGGACUCACCCUGAACAAAGCAAGUUCUCCUCCCCACAUCACGCACCAGACACCUCCUGAAAUACACCGUGUGUGUGUUUUUCUACGGCCACUUUGGAUAAAGUUACCACUGCAGCUGCUAACUGCGAUAAAACUCGCCACGUGACAACCAAAGAAACAGCAAACUGAGGAGCAAGCAAAUUGUUCGUUCUCACACGCCAGGGUGGCUAUGUGUACUGUCGCUUCACUGCACAAACACAGA